GACGAACGCUGGCGGCGUGCUUAACACAUGCAAGUCGAACGGAAAGGCCCUGCUUUUGUGGGGUGCUCGAGUGGCGAACGGGUGAGUAACACGUGAGUAACCUGCCCUUGACUUUGGGAUAACUUAAGGAAACUGGGGCUAAUACCGGAUAGGAGCUCCUGCUGCAUGGUGGGGGUUGGAAAGUUUCGGCGGUUGGGGAUGGACUCGCGGCUUAUCAGCUUGUUGGUGGGGUAGUGGCUUACCAAGGCUUUGACGGGUAGCCGGCCUGAGAGGGUGACCGGCCACAUUGGGACUACGAUACGGCCCAGACUCCUACGGGAGGCAGCAGUGGGGAAUAUUGCACAAUGGGCGGAAGCCUGAUGCAGCAACGCCGCGUGCGGGAUGACGGCCUUCGGGUUGUAAACCGCUUUCGCCUGUGACGAAGCGUGAGUGACGGUAAUGGGUAAAGAAGCACCGGCUAACUACGUG
rnacentral:rRNA from 1 species